rnacentral:rRNA from 1 species
UACGGAGGAUCCAAGCGUUAUCCGGAUUUAUUGGGUUUAAAGGGAGCGUAGGCGGAUUGGUAAGUCAGUGGUGAAAUCUUUGGGCUUAACCCAGAAACUGCCAUUGAUACUGCUGAUCUAGAGUACAGUUGCCGUUGGCGGAAUAUGACAUGUAGUGGUGAAAUACUUAGAUAUGUCAUAGAACACCGAUUGCGAAGGCAGCUAAACGAAGCUGUAACUGACGCUGAGGCUCGAAAGUGCGGGGAUCAAACAGG